GCCCUUAGAGUUUGAUUUAGGGCUCAGGAUAAACGCUGGCGGCGUGCCUAAUACAUGCAAGUCGAGCGAACGGACAAGAAGUCUUCGGACAUUUUGAAAGUGAGCGGCGAACGGGUGAGUAACACGUAGGUAACCUGCCCUUGAGAUUGGGAUAACAGUUGGAAACGACUGCUAAUACCGAAUGGGAACGAGUGAGGCAUCCCACAAGUUUAAAAGGAGCUUUCGGGCUUCGCUUAAGGAUGGACCUGCGGCGCAUUAGCUAGUUGGUGGGGUAAAGGCCUACCAAGGCGACGAUGCGUAGCCGACCUGAGACGGUGAUCGGCCACACUGGGACUGAGACACGGCCCAGACUCCUACGGGAGGCAGCAGUAGGGAAUUUUCCACAAUGGACGAAAGUCUGAUGGAGCAACGCCGCGUGUGCGAAGAAGGCCUUCGGGUUGUAAAGCACUGUUGUAAGGGAAGAACAGAUGUGAGAGGAAAUGCUCAUAUUGUGACGGUACCUUACCAGAAAGCCACGGCUAACUACGUGCCAGCAGCCGCGGUAAUACGUAGGUGGCGAGCGUUAUCCGGAAUUAUUGGGCGUAAAGGGCGUGUAGGCGGUGUUUUAAGUCUGAUGUGAAAGCCAACGGCUCAACCGUUGAAAUGCAUUGGAAACUGGAACACUUGAGUGUCGGAGAGGAAAGCGGAAUUCCUAGUGUAGCGGUGAAAUGCGUAGAUAUUAGGAGGAACACCAGUGGCGAAGGCGGCUUUCUGGAC
rnacentral:rRNA from 1 species